rnacentral:rRNA from 1 species
UACAGAGGGGGCAAGCGUUGUUCGGAAUUACUGGGCGUAAAGGGCGCGUAGGCGGCCCGCUAAGUCGAACGUGAAAUCCCCAGGCUCAACCUGGGAACUGCGUCCGAUACUGGCAGGCUUGAAUCCGGGAGAGGGAUGUGGAAUUUCAGGUGUAGCGGUGAAAUGCGUAGAUAUCUGGAGGAACACCGGUGGCGAAGGCGACAUCCUGGACCGGUAUUGACGCUGAGGCGCGAAAGCCAGGGGAGCAAACGGG